ACCCGCACAAGCAGCGAGCGUGUGGUUUAAUUCGUUGCUACACGAAGAACCUUACCUGGGUUUGACAUAUAGGUUGUAGGGAACUGAAAAGGGACCGACCCUUCGGGGAGCCUAUACAGGUGUUGCAUGGCUGUCGUCAGCUCGUGUCGUGAGAUGUUCGGUUAAGUCCGCUAACGAGCGCAACCCUCGUCGUAUGUUAUAUGUGUCACACGGGACUGCCGGUUUUAAGCCGGAGGAAGGUGGGAUGACGUCAAGUCAGCAUGGCCUUUAUAUCCUGGGCUACACACACGCUACAAUGGUCGGUACAAUAGGUUGCCAAGCCGCGAGGCGGAGCCAAUCCACAAAGCCGGCCUCAGUUCAGAUUGUAGGCUGCAACUCGCCUGCAUGAAGAUGGAGUUGCUAGUAACCGCAGGUCAGCAAUACUGCGGUGAAUACGUUCCCGGGUCUU
rnacentral:rRNA from 1 species